rnacentral:pre_miRNA from 1 species
UUUAAGGGGAAUGUUGUCUGGCACGAGGUCACCAACUUUGGCAGGAGAGAAUAUAAUUUGAUGUUGAAUUGUGCAUAUAUAUGUAUGUAUAUGUAUAUGUUUGGGCUCUCGGACCAGGCUUCAUUCCCCUCAAU